rnacentral:rRNA from 1 species
AUGCACGCUGGCGGCGUGCCUAAUACAUGCCAGUCGCGCGAACAGACGAGGAGCUUGCUCCUCUGACGUUAGCGGCGGACGGGUGAGUAACACGUGGAUAACCUACCUAUAAAACUGGGAUAACUUCGGGAAACCGGAGCUAAUACCGGAUAAUAUAUUGAACCGCAUGGUUCAAUAGUGAAAGACGGUUUUGCUGUCACUUAUAGAUGGAUCCGCGCCGCAUUAGCUAGUUGGUAAGGUAACGGCUUACCAAGGCGACGAUGCGUAGCCGACCUGAGAGGGUGAUCGGCCACACUGGAACUGAGACACGGUCCAGACUCCUACGGGAGGCAGCAGUAGGGAAUCUUCCGCAAUGGGCGAAAGCCUGACGGAGCAACGCCGCGUGAGUGAUGAAGGUCUUCGGAUCGUAAAACUCUGUUAUUAGGGAAGAACAAAUGUGUAAGUAACUAUGCACGUCUUGACGGUACCUAAUCAGAAAGCCACGGCUAACUACGUG